rnacentral:rRNA from 1 species
GAUGAACGCUGGCGGCGUGCCUAAUACAUGCAAGUCGAGCGAACGGACGAGAAGCUUGCUGCUCUGAUGUUAGCGGCGGACGGGUGAGUAACACGUGGAUAACCGACCUAUAAGACUGGGAUAACUUCGGGAAACCGGAGCUAAUACCGGAUAAUAUUUUGAACCGCAUGGUUCAAAAGUGAAAGACGGUCUUGCUGUCACUUAUAGAUGGAUCCGCGCUGCAUUAGCUAGUUGGUAAGGUAACGGCUUACCAAGGCAACGAUGCAUAGCCGACCUGAGAGGGUGAUCAGCCACACUGGAACUGAGACACGGUCCAGACUCCUACGGGAGGCAGCAGUAGGGAAUCUUCCGCAAUGGGCGAAAGCCUGACGGAGCAACGCCGCGUGAGUGAUGAAGGUCUUCGGAUCGUAAAGCUCUGUUAUUAGGGAAGAACAUAUGUGUAAGUAACUGUGCACAUCUUGACGGUACCUAAUCAGAAAGCCACGGCUAACUACGUG